GACGAACGCUGGCGGCGUGCUUAACACAUGCAAGUCGAACGAAGUGGCGAAAGGGUGAGUAACGCGUAAUCAACCUGCCCUUCAGAGGGGUACGAAAGUUGGAAACGACUGCUAAUACCGCAUACUGAAGGAGGGGAUUGCGUCUGCUUGGCUAGUUGGAGGGGUAACGGCCCACCAAGGCGAUGAUCAGUAGCCGGUCUGAGAGGAUGAGCGGCCACAUGGGGACUGAGACACGGCCCAGACUCCUUCGGGAGGCAGCAGGUGGGAAUCUUCCGCAAUGGACGAAAGUCUGACGGCGCAACGCCGCGUGAGUGAGGACGGCCUUCGGUUUGUAAAGCUCUGUUAAUCGGGACGCGGUACCGGAAUAGAAAGCAACGGCUAACUACGUGCCAGCCGCCGCGGUAAUUC
rnacentral:rRNA from 1 species